CGUAGGGUGCGAGCGUUAAUCGGAAUUACUGGGCGUAAAGUGUGCGCAGGCGGCCGCGCAAGUCGAGUGUGAAAUCCCCGAGCUUAACUUGGGAAUUGCGCUCGAAACUACGUGGCUGGAGUGUGGCAGAGGAAGGUGGAAUUCCACGUGUAGCGGUGAAAUAGCGUAGAUAUGUGGAGGAACACCGAUGGCGAAGGCAGCCUUCCUGGGCCAACACUGACGCUCAUGCACGAAAGCGUGGGGAGCAAACAGGAUUAGAUACCCUGGUAGUCCACGCCCUAAACGAUGUCAACUGGUUGUUGGGUCUUUACUGACUCAGUAACGAAGCUAACGCGUGAAGUUGACCGCCUGGGGAGUACGGCCGCAAGGUUG
rnacentral:rRNA from 1 species